AUGAACGCUGGCGGCGUGACCUAAUACAUGCAAGUCGAGCGAACAGACGAGGAGCUUGCUCCUCUGACGUUAGCGGCGGACGGGUGAGUAACACGUGAUAACCUACCUAUAAGACUGGGAUAACUUCGGGAAACCGGAGCUAAUACCGGAUAAUAUAUUGAACCGCAUGGUUCAAUAGUGAAAGACGGUUUCGCUGUCACUUAUAGAUGGAUCCGCGCCGCAUUAGCUAGUUGGUAAGGUAACGGCUUACCAAGGCAACGAUGUGUAGCCGACCUGAGAGGGUGAUCGGCCACACUGGAACUGAGACACGGUCCAGACUCCUACGGGAGGCAGCAGUAGGGAAUCUUCCGCAAUGGGCGAAAGCCUGACGGAGCAACGCCGCGUGAGUGAUGAAGGUCUUCGGAUCGUAAAACUCUGUUAUUAGGGAAGAACAAAUGUGUAAGUAACUAUGCACGUCUUGACGGUACCUAAUCAGAAAGCCACGGCUAACUACGUG
rnacentral:rRNA from 1 species